CACCUCUUGCAAACCAAGUAUAAGAGGCCCCGCCUGCCCGGUGACAUUUGUUCAACGGCCGCGGUAUUUUGACCGUGCGAAGGUAGCGUAAUCACUUGUCCUUUAAAUGAAGACCUGUAUGAAUGGCAUCACGAGGGCUUAACUGUCUCCUUUUUCUAUUCAAAGAAAUUUAUCCCCCCGUGCAGAAGCGGGGAUCUAAACAUAAGACGAGAAGACCCUGUGGAGCUUUAAGUAUUACUAGACCCGAUAAUAAAUCCAGAAAGGCUAAAAAUUAGGGAACCUAUUAUAAUACUUUUGGUUGGGGCGACCAUGGAGAAAAAACCAACCUCCAAGAAACUACUUAUUAGUUUAAGCCGAGAGGGUGACUUCUAAGCACUAGAACCUCUAACUAAAGACCCGGCAAUGCCGAUCAACAGACCCAGUUACCCCAGGGAUAACAGCGCAAUCUUCUUUAAGAGCCCAUAUCGACAAGAAGGUUUACGACCUCGAUGUUGGAUCAGGACAACCUAAUGGUGCAGCCGCUGUUAAAGGUUCGUUU
rnacentral:rRNA from 1 species